rnacentral:rRNA from 1 species
AUUGAACGCUGGCGGCAUGCUUUACACAUGCAAGUCGAACGGUAACAGGUUAAGCUGACGAGUGGCGAACGGGUGAGUAAUGCAUCGGAACGUGCCCGGUCGUGGGGGAUAAGGCAGCGAAAGCUGCGCUAAUACCGCAGCCGAUCGGAGGAAGAAAGCGGGGGAACGAAAGGGCACGUGCGAUCGAAGCGGCCGAUGUCAGAUUAGGUAGUAGGUGGGGUAAAGGCACACCAAGCCAACGAUCUGUAGCUGGUCUGAGAGGACGACCAGUCACACUGGGACUGAGACACGGCCCAGACUCCUACGGGAGGCAGCAGUGGGGAAUUUUGGACAAUGGGCGAAAGCCUGAUCCAGCAAUGCCGCGUGCAGGAAGAAGGCCUUCGGGUUGUAAACUGCUUUUGUACGGAGCGAAAAGGUCUCCUCUAAUACAGGGGGCUCAUGACGGUACCGUAAGAAUAAGCACCGGCUAACUACGUGCCAGCCGCCGCCGUAA